rnacentral:rRNA from 1 species
UACAGAGGUCCCCGAGCGUUGUUCGGAUUCAUUGGGCGUAAAGGGAGCGUAGGCGGCGUGGUAAGUCAGAUGUGAAAUCCCGGGGCUCAACCCCGGAACUGCAUCCGAUACUGCCGUGCUAGAGGAUUGGAGAGGUAGCUGGAAUUCUUGGUGUAGCAGUGAAAUGCGUGGAGAUCAAAGAGGACACUCGUGGCGAAAGCGAGCUACUGGACAAUAUCUGACGCUGAGGCUCGAAGGCCAGGGUAGCGAAAGGGG